rnacentral:rRNA from 1 species
UGGCGGGUGCCUAUACAUGCAAGUCGUGACACGGUAAGUCAGGGAAGCCUUCGGGUGGAACUGGUGGAACGAGCGGCGGAUGGGUGAGUAACACGUAGGUAACCUGCCCUAAAGCGGGGGAUACCAUCUGGAAACAGGUGCUAAUACCGCAUAACCCCAGCAGUCACAUGAGUGCUGGUUGAAAGACGGCUUCGGCUGUCACUUUAGGAUGGACCUGCGGCGUAUUAGCUAGUUGGUGGAGUAACGGUUCACCAAGGCGAUGAUACGUAGCCGACCUGAGAGGGUAAUCGGCCACAUUGGGACUGAGACACGGCCCAAACUCCUACGGGAGGCAGCAGUAGGGAAUCUUCCACAAUGGACGCAAGUCUGAUGGAGCAACGCCGCGUGGAUGAAGAAGGUCUUCGGAUCGUAAAAUCCUGUUGUUGAAGAAGAACGGUUGUGAGAGUAACUGCUCAUAGCGUGACGGUAAUCAACCAGAAAGUCACGGCUAACUACGUGCCAGCAGCCGCGGUAAUACGUAGGUGGCAAGCGUUGUCCGGAUUUAUUGGGCGUAAAGGGAGCGCAGGCGGUCUUUUAAGUCUGAAUGUGAAAGCCCUCAGCUUAACUGAGGAAGAGCAUCGGAAACUGAAAGACUUGAGUGCAGAAGAGGAGAGUGGAACUCCAUGUGUAGCGGUGAAAUGCGUAGAUAUAUGGAAGAACACCAGUGGCGAAGGCGGCUCUCUGGUCUGUUACUGACGCUGAGGCUCGAAAGCAUGGGUAGCGAACAGGAUUAGAUACCCUGGUAGUCCAUGCCGUAAACGAUGAGUGCUAAGUGUUGGGAGGUUUCCGCCUCUCAGUGCUGCAGCUAACGCAUUAAGCACUCCGCCUGGGGAGUACGACCGCAAGGUUGAAACUCAAAGGAAUUGACGGGGGCCCGCACAAGCGGUGGAGCAUGUGGUUUAAUUCGAAGCAACGCGAAGAACCUUACCAGGUCUUGACAUCUCCUGCAAGCCUAGAGAUUAGGGGUUCCUUUCGGGGACAGGAAGACAGGUGGUGCAUGGGUUGUCGUCAGCUCGUGUCGUGAGAUGUGGGUUAGUCCCGCACGAGCGCACCUUGUUACUAGUGCAGCAUGAGUGGCACUCCUAGUGAGACUGCGUGACAACCCGAGGGAGGUGGGACGACGUCCAUCAUCAUGGCCCCAUAUGACUGGCUACCACGUGCUACAUUGAUGGGUACA